rfam:Pan troglodytes isolate Yerkes chimp pedigree #C0471 (Clint) chromosome 19, whole genome shotgun sequence.
GCCGGGCGUGGUGGCGGACGCCUGUAGUCCCAGCUACUCAGGAGGCUGAGGCAGGAGAAUGGUGUGAACCCGGGAGGCGGAGCUUGCAGUGAGCCGAGAUCGUGCCACUGUACUCCAGCCUGGGCGAUCUCAAAAAAAAAAAAAAAAAAAGACAGUCUCUCUGUUGCCCAGGCUGGAGUGCAGUGGUACCAUCUCAGCUCACUGCAACCUGUGCCUCUUGGGUUCAAGCCAUCCUAUCCUCUGCCUCCC